rnacentral:lncRNA from 1 species
UUAACGUAAGUUGCAUAGAUUAAAAAAAUUCGAAAAUACUAAUUAUAAGUUGAAAAUGAAAAAGAAAAAAAGAAAAAGAAUAAUUACAAGAAAAUGAAAAAGAAAAAAAGAAAAAAGAAUAAUUACAAGAAAAUGAAAAUGAGACCGUAUGCUAUAAAGGAAACCAACUCAAUCUUUUUUCCAAUGUUACGUUAGCAUCACCUUUACUAUUGUGAGAUCCUCAUAAUCCUAACAAACAUCUCAAUCUCAUCAAAACAAUACGAAAAACCCUAUCAUAAUC